GUGCUUGAAACGGCUGCACAUAUACUAAAAUUGAUCGAUAAAGAGAAGACUAGCAUGGCCUCUGCGAAAGAAUGACACACAGAAUUCGUGAAGCGCUCCAUAUUUUU
ensembl:snRNA U6 U6 spliceosomal RNA